rnacentral:lncRNA from 1 species
UAAUUUUAUUUUAUUUUUCCAGUUUCAAACUCUGAACAUUCUGGAGCCCAUGUGCAAAUACAUCUUUAGUUUGUGUUUCUAGAGUAGAAUUGCUUUUAUCACUUUACUAACUACUGUGCUUUCCCUUCCAAAAGGGUUCCUCAACUAUAAUGAGAUUUUGCAGAUUCAUAGAAUACUCUCCAAAUGUACUUUCUUAGAGACAAUAAGUAGGCUCAGUACUUUGGAAGUAAACAGACUUGAGUUUACAUCUCAGUCAGUUCUGGCACUUAGCUCCUGGGCAAGCUCACCAAGCUUUGAGUUCCUUGCCUAUAAAACGAGGAUACUAUUACUGAUCCUUGAGGGCUAUUGGGAGGACAAAGGUGAUAACAUCUAAAAGCGUUUGGCACUUAGUAGGUGUCCGAUAAGCCAUAGUUAUUAUUAAUGAGUCCAUGACCCAAAUUACACCACUUGAGAAAAGUGCAGUAACCAGCAGUUUCCAGAAACAGAAGUGAAUGACAUCUUGACAACAAAAACAUUCAGAUGAAUAGAUGCGUAGAAGCCACCUUUAGUUGGUUUUGAAUUUCAUCAGCAUUUCAAUCUCCUUCUUAUUAAAACCCUGAGAAGCCACUAAUUGUAUUAGUUCCUUCAACAUUUGAUCUACGUCUGCAAUUCAAUCUCCAGAAGUAAACUCAGCCCAGACAGCAUGCCUAGUUUACCUUUGGAUAUUUUAUAGGACAUGGAGGUUUAUACAAGGAGUUAUGCUUUGUUAAUUCUAGGUUCCCAGGGUAAUGUGACGAUUAACUGGCAUUCCCUGAGCACACGCUGACAUAGAUGUCCCACCUCAUUUAUCACUCUGGCUUAACAUUAGAAAGGAGUCUUUUCCUGUCCCACGUCCCACUGCCCUGUGGCCAAGUUUACCUGUGUAUUUCUCUAGCUUCUCCAUGUUGUAUUAUGGCGUGAUUGUUGGCACUGGUUGCUCUUCAUGUUGGGGGCUCUAAAAGAAUACUUACUCUCACAUCCAUUAUUUCAUUUGAUUGCUAGCUUUCAGCUGUAGUAACCAACUUGUUUGUGCACCUGGUCCCUCAGACGUAGAUGGAAAUAUCUGCCAUAUCAACCUAAGUCAUGGCUAAGGCAGGACCACACAUUUCUUGCCAAGAAAUCAUUUGGGGCUUAUAAACAAGGAAUGGGUUCCAAAUCCCCAUGUCCAGUAAUAUCCACAUUGCCCUAAGCCUUAGUGCACCUAUUUAAUUCUUUCUCUCAGCUGCCAUCAGCCAUCCACCAAAGAAAAGCAGAGGCAAAUACAAAGGGAUAAUUAUGGGAAGCCUAUUUAUUUUAAAAAAUGGCUCUUCAUGGUUUGAAAAAACAGAGAAAGAGAGAAAUCAAAACCCACAAAAUGCAGCUCCAGCAGACUUUGGCAGAGGUGUGUGGUGAAGCCUGGCUAGAUGGUUGGAAUGGCAUGGUGGAGAAAAGAGAGCUUUGCGAUUACAACACAGUCUCUGAUCUGUGACUGUGCCAUUCAGCAAGCGGGGACCUUGGACAUGUUACAUGGCCCCUCUGUAGUUCCUUCACCUCACCAAUAAAAUAAGGUUAAUUUCAAUACCUACCUCACAAAGCCAGUGUGAACAUUCAAUAAGUCUAAAAAAUGUAAAGCUCUUAGCCCCACAUAAAGUUAUAUGAAUGUGGGAUAUUGGUGUUUUGGAUUUAAGAGUCCAAGUUCUGGGAUAGGCUGCCUGAUUGUGGGCCUGCCACUUACUAUCUGGCUGACCUGGAGCAGGUAACUUACCCUUUUGAAUGUGCUUCUACAUUUGUUAAGUGGGAAUGAUAACAUUAUGUCAGGGGAUUCUUUUAAGAAGCAAUGGAUGACAUACAUUGUUUGGUCUUUAGAAAGUACUCAUCAAUAUACAAUGUCAGUUCAUAUUACUGUGGGUGAACUAUGUUACAAGAUAUUUGUACCAUGUCUACAAAAAAAUUUGGUCUGGUAUGAGUGGCCAUGGAUUCCUGCACUCUCUCUUCUAGUUUCUCACAAAGUCUGGUUUUAAAAUACCCCUACGUCCACAGAAAACUAUCUGGAGACAUGGAAUGCCAUUCUUAUUAAUAUGUUGGGAUUUUAUUGAUGAGGCAACAUGUAACCAGUAGACCUUGGGCCUCAGCCAGAGCAGUCAUUACUGAAGUAAAAAAUGGACCUAAUUAUAAGGUGGUUUUAGCUAAAAGGUCAGCCAAUGCCAUGGAAUUGGAGGCUGGAGUUAUGGGAAGCGUCUACGUGUAUUAUAUUGCAUGUCAAUAUUAACACACAUUCUAUUACUGCUCCAUGAAUGUUACACUAUUUAGAGGCCUCAACUUCCUACUCUGUGGGUACAAUCACCCCCCACCCCCCCAACGCACACUGAUACACACGUGCUGUUAGCUGGAGCCACUAGGUGCCUCAAGUCCCAUGAUUCUGAAUGCUGAUUUGUUGCUGAGGGACUCCUUUUUCUCAGGCUAGUUACACAGUUGAAAUGAGUCCUUGCUGCUUGUAAGUCUUGUUCCAUAAUUUCAUUUGGCUGAGGCAGGAGACAAGUACCUCAUUUUAAUUAGAAUUUCAAGCAAACUGCAUUAUGUCAUUGUGUGUUAUUCCAAGAGAAUAUACCACAUCGAGGACAGAUGUUGAUAGAGUAAAUCAUCCUGUGUAUUCUGCCGAAGAAAUAAAAAUCCUUUUCUUCACUUAGACAGCUCUCAUGAUGCUGCUCCUCACACAUCCCCUAGAACCAAAAGAUGUGCCCCGAGGCUCUCCAGAACAGUUGAUGUGUUAAACAAGAUGCCAGGUAAUAACUACCAGGGCGCUCAUGACGCUGUGGCAUCACCAUGUCAUUAGCGUGCAAAUCGCAACUAUUAUUCCUGCUCUCUGCCUGCUGCAAAUCACAGAAUCCCUCGAGGGAUCCCCUCUCCGCCUGUUGCCCCGAGAAAGGUCCUAGAGUGUGUGGAAGAAAACCGGGGCUGUGUUGCUUUAGACCGGCAAUUAAGCCCCUGCUGCUCUCCAAACCAAUGAGUCUUUCCAAGUCAUAAUCUAAUUUAUUUUUUUCCAUUUUCUAAGUAAUGCCAGGGUAAGCGCGUUCAUCAUUUUAGACUCCCUGAUUCUAAUUCCUCAUUCAGACUUGUUUGUUCAGAAGAAGGUAAACAACCCCAAGCUAUCACCCACCCCAUUUAUUUGCAAAGAGAGAGUUUCAGUUGGGGAAGAUAAAUCGCAUGUCAAACAUGGUUAGGAGGGACGGAGACUGAACAAUUUCGAGUUUCCUUCGCCUGUCUCCAGCUGUUGUGGCCCAGGGUGACUCUGGCAGCUGUGUGCUGGCUUGGCUGAGCUGCUGUUUAGUCAAGUCAGAUCAAUACUUCUAAGUAUUUGCCUGAUAUGAUCAAGUUAGGCUAGUCCAGGAAUUCACACAUUGAACCACAUGGAUGGAGCUAACUUGUUUCUAGUAAUCUGUCCAUGAAAACAAGCUCAACAGGUUGAUACCUAUAACCCUAAAGUCCCUGAGAAGAUUAAAGGCAGACCACUUUUAGGGGACUGGUGGACCCAAAUGGCCCUGGGGAUGUAUCAAUUCAAGUCCAAGAGCAUUUAUUGGGUGCUACGAUAUAUAAGGAAACAUAAGAGAUACAAAGAUCAGCAAGAUAUAGUCCCAAUUCUCAAGAAUAAUUUAGUACCAGGCUAUAAAAACAUCAGUAGCUAAUUAAUUGUUAUUUAGAUUUGGCCUUGUUCCAAAAGAAUCUAAGACAGACACGUAUUUGCAAAAAUACAUCCCAUAAGUCAAAAUGAAAUAAAAUACGAUACAUGAGAUGGAGUUGGGGAAAAUUCAAAUGAAGCUGCAAGUGAAGGUAGUUCAAAGCAAUAUGAGAAAUAAUGCUUACAAGUGGUAGGCUAUAGAUUUGUGCUGGAGCUUCCUAGAAGUUGUCACAAAACCAGAAACAAAUUGACUGUAUGAUUGACAAUGUCUACAUUGAUCUAGCUCAGGAAAAGAAGGAUUAGACCAGGUAUGGGAGACUACGCAGAUCUUGCUCACACUAAAAGGACCAUGAUUUGUGCUAGUGGGUCUUCAUGUACUUAGAGGCAAUAUAGUCAUGAUUUUCACUGGCUGGGAAUAAGGAAUGUUUUGCUGCUUAUGUCACAGUCAUUUCUUGUCACCUUCUUCUUUGCUGCAAACACCCCCCUCGUAUACACCUCAGGGGCUGAAAGUCCUGGCUAUCAGCUCUGCCAGACUCCCUUGGACAUGUGACCCAAUCAUGGCAAAUGGGCCCCAAUGAGGAGGAUGCUGGGAAGCUCCCUGUCUAUUGAUAAACAGCAAGUCUGGAUAUAUUUAUUCGUGUUCUAGAACAAGCAAAGGCACUAUAAAUGUUACUGAGAUUCAUGAAAAAAUACUGCAGUGUCAAAAAUGGAAACAUUUGACUCAAAACACGGGCCAAUUUCUGAAAGUGAUCUUCUACAAGAUUCAGAAGAUAACUUCAGGAAAUCACUUGGAAAUCCUUGAAAGAAGGCAGGAAGUCAGGCCACCAUAAAUUGGAAGCUUAAGGAGACAAAAAGAUGAGAUUAAAAUUCAGAUCUUUGGAACUGACAAAGAUCUCAAAAGAUCUAAAAAGGUAAUGGGGCUUCCAGGAAAAGAUAGAGCUUUGAACUAACAUCUCAUCCUCCCAAAUCUUCAUGAAAUAUAUGUAUAAAAAUAAACUAUAGGAGUUCCCAUCGUGGCUCAGUGGUUAACGAAUCUGAUUAGCAUCCAUAAGGAUGGAGGUUCGAUCCCUAGCCUCACUCAUUGAGUUACAGAUCUGGCGUUGCUGUGAGAUGUGGUAUAGGUCACAGACAUGGCUCAGAUCCUGCAUUGCUGUGGCUGUGGUGUAAACCAGCAGCUGCAGCUGCAAUUUGACCCCUAGCCUGAGAAACUCCAUAUGCCUCGGGUUCAGCCCUAAAGAGCAAACAAAUAAACAAACAAAAAACUAUAAUUAAUAUCACCCGAAAGAUAAAGGAGUUACACACUUGAAACAAGAACAGGAUGCUCUAAAAACGGAACACAGAAAAUGUAAAAGGGCCUUUGGAUAAUAUAUUGUACAGCACAGGGAAGUAUAGCAACUAUUUUUUAAUGACGUUGAAUGAAGUAUAAUGUAUAAGUGUCGAAUCAAUGUAUUAUACAUUGAAACAAUGUAAUAUUAUAAGUCACCUAUACUUCAAUGAAAAUAGAUAUUUGGAUAAAUGCAAUGGAAAAUGGAAUUUGCAUGAAAAAUAGUAAAAAUAUGAAUCAUGUGGUGAAACUUUGAAUCAGUUGUAUAGAAAAUGAUCUUUGAAAAUUUCCCUGAUUUGCAGAAGCACAAUCAGAGAGAUUAAAAUGAUAGGUAUAAGAUAGAUACAGAAGGCAUAUAAAGAAAGAAAGCACAGAUCAUUUGUAUUCUCAGAAAGAAUAUCAGUUUAAGAAUAAGAGAAAAACUAACCAAAUCUAAGAAGAAAAAAAAGCCUUUUUGAGAUGAAAAAAGCUCUGUACUUGUAGGUUCAAAGCACCCACACAUCCAAGUCAAAUGGAUUUUAAAAGACCCAAUCCAGGCACAUUCUGGCCAACUUUGGGACUAAAAGAAUGAAGGGAAAUUUGCAAGGCC